GUAGAUGCUCAUCCCACUUCUUAUGACAGCAAUGCUUCAUAAACCCAGGGAUGACGCAAGCCGAUUAUCGGUGCCUAUUGUCCAAUUUAGAUGAAUAAGAGGUCAUUCUCUUCUCAUCAACCCAUGGACGAAACGUUGAGUGAGGCACCAUCCGUCUGUAGACCUGAUUGUAUAUUUACACCUGUCAAAAUUGACAGGUGUUUUUUU
rnacentral:sRNA from 1 species